rnacentral:rRNA from 1 species
AGAAUCAACGCUGGCGGCGUGCCUAACACAUGCAAGUCGAACGAGAAAGUGGAGCAAUCCAUGAGUACAGUGGCGACCGGGUGAGUAACACGUGACUACCUACCCUUGAGUGGGGGAUAACCUCGGGAAACCGAGGCUAAUACCGCAUAAUAUCGAGAGAUCAAAGGAGUAAUCCGCUUUUGGAGGGGGUCGCGGCUGAUUAGCUAGUUGGUAGGGUAAUGGCCUACAAAGGCGAAGAUCGGUAUCCGGCCUGAGAGGGCGCGACGGAACGACGACUAGGAACUGAAACACGGUCCAGACUCCUACGGGAGGCAGCAGUGGGAAUUUUGCGCAAUGGGGGAAACCCUGACGCAGCAACGCCGCGUGGAGGAUGAAGCCCCUUGGGGUGUAAACUCCUUUCGACCGGGAAAAUAAAUGAUGGUACCGGUGGAAGAAGCACCGGCUAACUCUGUGCCAGCAGCCGC